rnacentral:rRNA from 1 species
AUACGGGGGGUGCAAGCGUUACUCGGAAUCACUGGGCGUAAAGAGCAUGUAGGCGGAUUAAUAAGUUUGAAGUGAAAUCCUAUAGCUUAACUAUAGAACUGCUUUGAAAACUGUUAAUCUAGAAUGUGGGAGAGGUAGAUGGAAUUUCUGGUGUAGGGGUAAAAUCCGUAGAGAUCAGAAGGAAUACCGAUUGCGAAGGCGAUCUACUGGAACAUAAUUGACGCUGAGAUGCGAAAGCGUGGGGAGCAAACAGGAUUAGAUACCCUGGUAGUCCACGCCCUAAACGAUGUACACUAGUUGUUGUGAGACUAGAUCUUGCAGUAAUGCAGUUAACACAUUAAGUGUACCGCCUGGGGAGUAUGGUCGCAAGAUUAAAACUCAAAGGAAUUGACGGGG